CUCAGAUUGAACGCUGGCGGCAGGCCUAACACAUGCAAGUCGAGCGGUAGCACGGGGAGCUUGCUCCUGGGUGACGAGCGGCGGACGGGUGAGUAAUGUCUGGGGAUCUGCCUGAUGGAGGGGGAUAACUACUGGAAACGGUAGCUAAUACCGCAUAACGUCGCAAGACCAAAGAGGGGGACCUUCGGGCCUCUUGCCAUCAGAUGAACCCAGAUGGGAUUAGCUAGUAGGUGGGGUAAUGGCUCACCUAGGCGACGAUCCCUAGCUGGUCUGAGAGGAUGACCAGCCACACUGGAACUGAGACACGGUCCAGACUCCUACGGGAGGCAGCAGUGGGGAAUAUUGCACAAUGGGCGCAAGCCUGAUGCAGCCAUGCCGCGUGUAUGAAGAAGGCCUUCGGGUUGUAAAGUACUUUCAGCGAGGAGGAAGGCNNNAAGGUUAAUAACCUUGGUGAUUGACGUUACUCGCAGAAGAAGCACCGGCUAACUCCGUGCCAGC
rnacentral:rRNA from 1 species